UUAAAAAGCGUGACAAUAGAAUUAGGUGGCAUUACCUUGGGCUGCUGACAUUUCACUGUUAAAGUGAAGUGUUGUAAACUUUUGUCAAUGUGGAAUCCACGUUUCAAAUAUUCCAUUAGAAUUAUAUAUAUAUACUUUAGCAUUAUGAUUCUUGUUAUAUGGUAUCUAAAUGGAGUUUCUGUUUAUGAUGCCAGAUUGUUAUAGUACCUAAAGAACAUGCAACAUGUGUUAAAUUGCUGUAGUGAAAUAUUGGUCAUUAUGGACAGUUCCAUUGGAGAGAAAACAAAUAUCGAAUAUCGAAUUGGUCCCUAUAUGGACUCAAAAACAUAUUCUCUCACACUUUGAGUAGCAGAAAAGUGCUGGAUUUGAUGCAACGUGGGCAGUUAAACUGCUGUUACAUUCACUCUGCUGUUUCCCAUAUGGAACAAUGCUGCAGUGAUGUGCUAUAAGAGCAAUUAACAAGUAGAUACUAAAAUGAUAACGAUAGGGGUCAUUUUUCUUUUUUUAAUAUUUUUCCUUUUAUUUAUGGACAUUGAACUGCAUUUUCUAUGCCACUGUCUGUGUAAACAAUGUAAGCUGUCAUUUCUAGGUUGAUAAUAAUAAAAUGAUAGGCAGACAUGCAGCAUAGAAACACUAUGGACAUUUAAGCAAGAGGAUUUCAAAGAUAUAUUAGGAGCCCAAAGGUAGUAUACCGAUAUAAAGCACUCCUUUAGUGUAGGAGAGAAAACACCUGCAACUUCAAUCUGGAGGAAUAUUGAGACAGGAACGAUGCACAGAAAAAGGAAUUGCCAAAGAGAAUGUGUGAGUAGCUUUCCAUUAAAGAGGGAACAGACAGGUUAAAUUGGAAAAAAACAAGACACACAGAGAGCACAAUCCCUACAGCGGCCUUCUUCGUUCAGUGAGAAAAAUAAUUCUUCAAGAUGUUUCUUAAUGAAAGUAGGCUGCACUUACUGUAGCAACCCCAGGAGGGUUUCGUCGCUGGUGCUGCUGUGGGCAUCCUGAGAGACUUCUCCUCUGUCUGGCCUACUUCUCCAACACUCAGAGGCCUUAGAGAAAAAAGGAAAAAGACCAGCAUCUGAGUUUGACAGAGACAAAGGAAUGGAUUUCUGGCAGCACUCAGCUAUCAAGGUAAGAACUACUGUAAAGAACAGAAGAAAAAAAAGAUAGGCAGAGAAUAUUGACAGCCCGGUAACCAGGAUAAACCCACGUCUUGCUGUGGCUGGUCAAACGGAACCAAGUCAGGCGUUUCAGUGAGGUUUGGUCCCCUUCAACCAGCUACAGCUUCGUGAACUGAACCAGCAAGAGCUCCAAAGCAUCGCAGAGAGAAACACGUCGCCAAGGAACCAUAUACCACGAUACCAUGACAGUAAAGAUUUUUAGAAACACACAUGAAUUAAAAGAAGCGCCAGCUCCUGCAAAGGGCUCGACCACAGAGCGCAGCGGCAGCAGAGAACAGCAGCAGCCAUGGCCACUAUCCCCACGACCUUCCCUUCCCCACCCGAACCCCACCAGUCAGGAACCACCACGCUGGCUACCCGUUCCGAUGCGAGGUGCCGGAAAAAUCAUACAGGAGAUGCCUGAGCCGGGAGUGAUUGAAUCGUCCAAUAGUACCUGGGCUGCACCCAUGGUCUUAGUUGGCAAGAAAGAAAGUCUGCAGAGACUACCGCUGACUAAACACGGUCAACUAGAAAGAUUCCUACCCUCUUCCCCGCAUCGAUGAGUCAUUGGACCUCAUCGCUGGAUCCUUUUGGUUCAGCUUCCUUGACCUAAGAAGUUGCUACUCACAGGUGGAGCUCACCCCCAAUGCCAAGCCAAAUUCCGCUUUCUCUACAGGACAGGGCUUCUGGUAGUUCAAUGUAAUGCCAUUCAGGAUGUGCAACACCCCUGCCACGUUCGAACUGGACGGCAUCCCCAGACAGCCGUGUGUGGUCAACCUGGGUGACCUGCUGGCACACGCCUCAACCUUCUCCGAGGCCCUGUUCCACUGGCAGCGGGUGCUACAGAGUAUCUUACUACAAGAACUUUGUUAAGGGGUUUGCAACCAUCACUAGCCCCCUUGCACUAUCUCCUGGACAAGGAUCGGCACUUCCAGUGGACAGCCAAACACAAGGAUGCUUUUGCUUAGCUGCAACAAGUUGUGUGUUCCCUCCCAACUGUAAUUCAUCUGCCUGCUUGUCUUUCCCUAGUCUGUCCGCAUUGGCUGUUAGUUAUCUGUGCCCCUUGGUCCUGGUGCGAUUUACAUACGAUUUUUGGAAGGUAGUCAAUUGUAAGGUACUCUGUAAUAUAAAAAUACAUUUUGAAAUUUUAGAAACAUAUUUUAACCAGAAGUGCCAAUGUCUUUCAUGUAGAGACAUUGAAAAAAUACUUUUCUUAAAAUUGUUAUUAUUUUUAAGUAUUACCAAGGAUUUUUAUUUAAUAUUUUGAUUAGUAUUAUUGUAGGAGAUUGACUCCAUUGCUAAUUAAUUUGGUUUUUUGUUGUUGUGGUUAUUGUAAGCCAAACCUACAGUAUGGGAGCAGUUAGUUUUCAGUAAGUUUUUACAGGCAGUAUCAUGUGGAAUAAGUUCGUUGUGCAAUCAACAUUUAACAAAUACAGUUCAGUGUCACUUCAGGUAGAACUGAUUACUGGUCAUUUUUAGAUCAGCUAGCAUGCACAUGCGCACAGCUGCACUGUGAACAUGAUUAAAGUGAACCAGCCCUCAAUUUUGCAAGGUGAUGGUCUCAAUAAGUGGAAUACUGCAAUCAAACUAAAUAUUUACAUAAUCAUGUAUAAAUAAUUGUUGAAAGAUCAAAUGAGUCUCAUGUGUUUACAUGUCUUGCUUUUCUGGAAGCUAUUUCCUGCCUUUUGGGACUAUAUCCAGACACAAGACAUGACUGAAUUAGAAUUGAGUCAGCCACAGGUUUACUUGUAGUCAUCUUACAGAAUGGAAUCACUGUUAGGUGUAUACACAGGUCAGAAUGCUAAGAAAUUAACUAAUUAACAAAGUAAAGGUAAUUGUAGUUUUAGAGUAGAAUUUCUGGUCACACAUGUUCUCUGUACAUAAUUAGGCAUUUAUUCAAGUAAGUCAAGUAUUCAAGUAUAAAGGACCAACUUAUAAAGCGGGAGUACUGCAUUCAGUAUUCAAACUAUAAAAUCAAGUGAGCUUCAAUGAUAGUGGAGCAGAAAACAGGGAAUAGGUGUUUUUGGCUUAUUUGUUAAAAUAUAAUUUAUCCCCUAUAUUUACACAGGAAAUUAUAUAUUGCACUGUGCCCUAUGUAAGCUUAAGAGCACUGCAAAUUACUCAACACGCACAAAUAAUGAUCAGCAAUUAUGAUAAUGAGGUUCUCAAUGAGCGCAUUGGUCUAUUUAGCUGCUGCAAUUGCAGCUCAGAGGUGACAGAGUUUGGAAGUAGCCGAGCCCUUACCGCUGCUGUCACUCAGCAUGAAAUGAGUUGUUUGGAAACGCCUCAGCCAACAUCAGUUAUGCUGCUAUCCUUUGGAAAUUAUAUGUAAUCGCCUGCCCUUUUCAGCUUGACAUCCAGAAAUUUGCCUAGCAGGAAAAGGUGGAUUGGGCUAUCUCUCCAACUGUGGUCUGAAAGGAACAAGAGGCCAAGUAGUGCAGAAAACACGGCACUUUCACAUGUUCCACAGAUUGACGCAGGGGUCUAGCUCAUCCCUCAAUUCAAUAUUAGGUCUAGGAUGACCUGCGGAGUGAGACAAUAACGC